rnacentral:tRNA from 1 species
AGUUCAGUGGUAGAACGUCAGCUUCCCAAGCUGAAUGUCGACGGUUCGAGUCCGUUC